rnacentral:rRNA from 1 species
UGAGGAACUUGUCCCGGUCUCUGGAAUAACGAGUGGAAACAUUCGCUAAUACCGGAUGCCGUCGGAUCACUGCAUGGUGAACUGACGAAAGGGUUACCGGAUCGGGAGAGUCUCGCGGCCUAUCAGCUUGUUGGUGAGGUAACGGCUCACCAAGGCGACGACGGGUAGCUGGUCUGAGAGGAUGGCCAGCCACAGUUGGGACUGAGACACGGCCCAGACCUCCGUACGGGAGCAG